GUAAGUAGCUUCGUGCAGUACCUAGCUAACAACAAUAUGCAAUGGGCAUGGGGAGAUAACCAGUUAUCUAGCUCGCUAUAGCAUGCUAACUGUUGCAUUUUUGUUGACAGAUCCAUCGUUUAUUCUAACCGUCUGUGUUUACCAAUAAUAUACGUGACUAAUGCUGGCAGCUUUAAGCAAUUCAUUUGUUACUUCUCUGGAAUGUCGGCUAGUUAGUGACCGACCGGUAUUAAAAUGGGUGCCAUACUGUAGGUAGUUGGUUGGUUAGCUAAUAUCAUGCUGGCUAACAACUUGUGUAUGCUGGCCAAGUGUGGCAUUGGUGUUGUCAGUUCCUUUGACUGACUGAGUUAUGACAAGUGGUGAUUCUCACAGUGAAGCGAGCCACAGGCACCUUCUCACUGAUAGGAUGCUUUUUCAUGCUGUUUGUAAUCUGGCUUCUCCGCCGGUAUCACUCCUUGGCCCAGAAGAUGAUUUGCAGUCUGACAGUUGCGGCCUUCUUUGACAGUGUAGCGUAUGUCAUCGGUGAUACCCAUCCAGAGGGGAGUCUGUGUAACUUCCAGGCCUGGUGGCUCACUUAUUUUGACUGGAGUGCCUUGGCCUGGGUGUCCUGAAUUAUUCUGAACC
ensembl:lncRNA